GACGAACGCUGGCGGCGUGCUUAACACAAGCAAGUCGAACGGAAAGGCCCUGCUUUUGUGGGGUGCUCGAGUGGCGAACGGGUGAGUAACACGUGAGUAACCUGCCCUUGACUUUGGGAUAACUUCAGGAAACUGGGGCUAAUACCGGAUAGGAGCUCCUGCUGCAUGGUGGGGGUUGGAAAGUUUCGGCGGUUGGGGAUGGACUCGCGGCUUAUCAGCUUGUUGGUGGGGUAGUGGCUUACCAAGGCUUUGACGGGUAGCCGGCCUGAGAGGGUGACCGGCCACAUUGGGACUGAGAUACGGCCCAGACUCCUACGGGAGGCAGCAGUGGGGAAUAUUGCACAAUGGGCGGAAGCCUGAUGCAGCAACGCCGCGUGCGGGAUGACGGCCUUCGGGUUGUAAACCGCUUUCGCCUGUGACGAAGCGCGAGUGACGGUAAUGGGUAAAGAAGCACCGGCUAACUACGUG
rnacentral:rRNA from 1 species